rnacentral:rRNA from 1 species
UGGGGAAUUUUGGACAAUGGGCGCAAGCCUGAUCCAGCCAUGCCGCGUGCGGGAAGAAGGCCUUCGGGUUGUAAACCGCUUUGUCAGGGAAGAAAUCUUCUGAGUUAAUACCUCGGGGAGGAUGACGGUACCUGAAGAAUAAGCACCGGCUAACUACGUGCCAGCAGCCGCGGUAAUACGUAGGGUGCAAGCGUUAAUCGGAAUUACUGGGCGUAAAGCGUGCGCAGGCGGUUUUGUAAGACAGAGGUGAAAUCCCCGGGCUCAACCUGGGAACUGCCUUUGUGACUGCAAGGCUUGAGUGCGGCAGAGGGGGAUGGAAUUCCGCGUGUAGCAGUGAAAUGCGUAGAUAUGCGGAGGAAACACCGAUGGCGAAGGCAAUCCCCUGGGCCUGCACUGACGCUCAUGCACGAAAGCGUGGGGAGCAAACAGGAUUAGAUACCCUGGUAGUCCACGCCCCUAAAACGAUGUCAACUGGUUGUUGGGAAGGUUCCUUCUCAGUAACGUAGCUAAUGCGUGAAGUUGACCGCCUGGGGAGUACGGCCGCAAGGUUG